rnacentral:lncRNA from 1 species
CCACCAUCAACUUCCCUGUAGUUAAAGAGCCACACCUUUAUGGGUGUCAAGUGGAAAGUAAAAUCAGUAUCUAACGCCCAAUCUUCAUUAGAAUCACUGUUUGAGAUUGCUAAGACAUCUGCAAAAUCAAGUCCAUCAGAGCUAGAUGUUGGAGUGUUAGAUGAGUUCUGAGUAUCAUGGGAAUUGUUGUUGUUUUGACCAUUCUAUUUUUGGGGACAAUUUCUUUUUAAAUGUCCUUCUCUACCACAAGACUUUUCUUGGCCUCGAUUUUGAUCUUGAUUUACUCGUGCCUUAAUUUCCUUGGUUUCAUUUCUUGUUAGACCUCCUCCUAACAUUGAGACCUUCUCCAUUAGAGUUUGUUCUUGGCCCUUUACCAUUGGCUUUCAAGUCUAGUUCUUUAGAGUAAGCUACACUUGUGACCUCAACUAAAGUUAAACUCUUCUAACAGUACUUGAGAGUGUCUCUUAGUUGUACAUAAGGCUUUGGCAAAGAGUUCAAUAAGAAGAUGGCUUGA